rnacentral:rRNA from 1 species
UGGAAUGGGGGGCAGCUACACAUGCAGUCGAGCGGUAGCACAGAGAGCUUGCUCUCGGGUGACGAGCGGCGGACGGGUGAGUAAUGUCUGGGAAACUGCCUGAUGGAGGGGGAUAACUACUGGAAACGGUAGCUAAUACCGCAUAACGUCGCAAGACCAAAGAGGGGGACCUUCGGGCCUCUUGCCAUCAGAUGUGCCCAGAUGGGAUUAGCUAGUAGGUGGGGUAAUGGCUCACCUAGGCGACGAUCCCUAGCUGGUCUGAGAGGAUGACCAGCCACACUGGAACUGAGACACGGUCCAGACUCCUACGGGAGGCAGCAGUGGGGAAUAUUGCACAAUGGGCGCAAGCCUGAUGCAGCCAUGCCGCGUGUAUGAAGAAGGCCUUCGGGUUGUAAAGUACUUUCAGCGAGGAGGAAGGCAUUGUGGUUAAUAACCUCAGUGAUUGACGUUACUCGCAGAAGAAGCACCGGCUAACUCUGUGCCAGCAGCCGCAAA